rnacentral:rRNA from 2 species
UGUUUGAUGUUCUAACGUGGACCCGUGAUCCGGGUUGCGGACAGUGUCUGGUGGGUAGUUUGACUGGGGCGGUCUCCUCCUAAAGAGUAACGGAGGAGCACGAAGGUUGGCUAAUCCUGGUCGGACAUCAGGAGGUUAGUGCAAUGGCAUAAGCCAGCUUGACUGCGAGCGUGACGGCGCGAGCAGGUGCGAAAGCAGGUCAUAGUGAUCCGGUGGUUCUGAAUGGAAGGGCCAUCGCUCAACGGAUAAAAGGUACUCCGGGGAUAACAGGCUGAUACCGCCCAAGAGUUCAUAUCGACGGCGGUGUUUGGCACCUCGAUGUCGGCUCAUCACAUCCUGGGGCUGAAGUAGGUCCCAAGGGUAUGGCUGUUCGCCAUUUAAAGUGGUACGCGAGCUGGGUUUAGAACGUCGUGAGACAGUUCGGUCCCUAUCUGCCGUGGGCGCUGGAGAACUGAGGGGGGCUGCUCCUAGUACGAGAGGACCGGAGUGGACGCAUCACUGGUGUUCGGGUUGUCAUGCCAAUGGCACUGCCCGGUAGCUAAAUGCGGAAGAGAUAAGUGCUGAAAGCAUCUAAGCACGAAACUUGCCCCGAGAUGAGUUCUCCCUGAGACUUUAGGUCUCCUGAAGGAACGUUGAAGACGACGACGUUGAUAGGCCG